AGAGCACUGUUUGGACUAGGGGGCCAUCCCGGUUUACCGAAUUCAGACAAACUCCGAAUGCCAGAUAUUUAUACACGGGAGUCAGACUGCGAGUGAUAAGAUCCGUAGUCAAAAGGGAAACAGCCCAGACCACCAGCUAAGGUCCCAAAGUAAUCGUUAAGUGGAAAAGGAUGUGGCGUUGCACAGACAACCAGGAUGUUGGCUUAGAAGCAGCCAUCAUUUAAAGAGUGCGUAAUAGCUCACUGGUCGAGUGACGCUGCGCCGAAAAUGUAUCGGGGCUAAACGAUUCACCGAAGCUGUGGAUUGACAUCUACGAUGUCAGUGGUAGGAGAGCGUUCUAAGUGCGUUGAAGUCAGACCGGAAGGACUGGUGGAGCGCUUAGAAGUGAGAAUGCCGGUAUGAGUAGCGAAAGACGGGUGAGAAUCCCGUCCACCGUAUGACUAAGGUUUCCUGAGGAAGGCUCGUCCGCUCAGGGUUAGUCGGGACCUAAGCCGAGGCCGAUAGGCGUAGGCGAUGGACAACAGGUUGAUAUUCCUGUACCACCUCCUCACCGUUUGAGAAAUGGGGGGACGCAGUAGGAUAGGGUAAGCGCGCUGUUGGUUAUGCGCGUCCAAGCAGUAAGGCGUGUGUGUAGGCAAAUCCGCACACUGUAACGUUGAGCUGUGAUGGCGAGUCCGUAUGGACGAAGUUCCUGAUUUCACACUGCCAAGAAAAGCCUCUAUCGAGGUGAGAGGUGCCCGUACCGCAAACCGACACAGGUAGUCGAGGAGAGAAUCCUAAGGUGUGCGAGAGAACUCUCGUUAAGGAACUCGGCAAAAUGACCCCGUAACUUCGGGAGAAGGGGUGCUCUUGAGCGUGCAAGCGCAUGAGAGCCGCAGUGAAUAGGCCCAGGCGACUGUUUAGCAAAAACACAGGUCUCUGCAAAACCGUAAGGUGACGUAUAGGGGCUGACGCCUGCCCGGUGCUGGAAGGUUAAGAGGAGUGGUUAGCGCAAGCGAAGCUGCGAAUUGAAGCCCCAGUAAACGGCGGCCGUAACUAUAACGGUCCUAAGGUAGCGAAAUUCCUUGUCGGGUAAGUUCCGACCCGCACGAAAGGCGUAACGAUCUGGGCACUGUCUCAACGAGAGACUCGGUGAAAUUAUAGUACCUGUGAAGAUGCAGGUUACCCGCGACAGGACGGAAAGACCCCGUGGAGCUUUACUGUAGCCUGAUAUUGAAUUUUGGUACAACUUGUACAGGAUAGGUAGGAGCCAGAGAUCUCGGAGCGCCAGCUUCGAAGGAGGCGUCGGUGGGAUACUACCCUGGUUGUAUUGAAAUUCUAACCCAUGCCCCUUAGCGGGGCAGGAGACAGUGUCAGGCGGACAGUUUGACUGGGGCGGUCGCCUCCUAAAAGGUAACGGAGGCGCCCAAAGG
rnacentral:rRNA from 2 species